AUAUAAUUAAUAAAAACUUUUCUCUUUCUCUUCUUUCCUAUUUGAUGAAUACACAUUUACUCUUCUUUCCUUUCUAAUGUUUUUUCUCUAGAAUUGUAAAUCGAAGAGAGGAAGUUGAAGAUCGAAGUGACGAAGCUGAAGAAAUGAAGAGCUGAGCUGAUGAAAUGAAGAGCUGAGCUGAAGAUUCUCUUCUCCAGAACCCAAAUUACUUGAAGAGAUGACGAGCUGAAGCUGAAGAUCUGGGAUCGAAGAACUGAAAAGCGUAAGCUGAAGACUCGAUUUUUUCAAGCGUUGGAUGAUCAGGGAGAUUUAGGCAUCUUGGUUAAUCUGUUAGCCUGAUUGCUUUUGAGGAUCGCUUCACUUUAAUUGAACAAGAAAUAGAAACAGUGAUCAAGAAAAUCACUCCAAAGAUAGAUCAAGUUAUAUAUUAUCAAUGAGUUGUUAGUUGUGGUUGAUGGUGCUGCCAGUGGAAGUAUAAUCAACAUUCAAAAACUUUUGUGGAGAAUUCAAGGUUUGAUUUGGCAUAACACAAGUGUCAUGACGAGGAAUUCAAAUAUCCCAUCCAAGGAUUGGAUGGAUUUAGCAGGGUAUAGCAAACCAUAUAUUGAUGGUGUUGAAUCAUUCCUAAUUCAAAUAUCCCAUCCAAGGAUUGGAUGGAUUUAGCAAGGUAUAGAAAACCAUAUCUUGAUGGUGUUGAAUCAUUCCUAAAUUUUGCUUACUCUUGUGGAGAUCCUCAUGGAGAGGAAAUUCAGUGUCCAUGUGCAAAAUCUUGUAACAUUCAUUGGACUUGAAGGAAUGUAGUGUAUGAUCAUCUAAUAUGCUAUGGAUUUGUUAAAGGUUAUACUAGAUGGAUCAAUCACGGGGAAUGGGAUAUAAAGUUGAAUGUUGAAGAUGAUAUGGAUUGCUCGCGUGAUGACAUUGAUGGAUUGUUGAAUGAUCAAUUUAGAGAUGUUGCACAGGCUAAAGUAGCGUGAUGACAUUGAUGGAUUGUUGAAUGAUCAAUUUAGAGAUGUUGCACAGGUAGCUUAUGAUGGUCCAAAUGAAGAUGCCAAGAAAUACUAUAACUUAGUUGAAGAGGCAAGCCAAGAAUUAUAUCCUGGUUGUACAGAUUCUCUAAAUUAUCACUCACACUUCUAUAUUUGUAGAAGUGUCUACAUGGAUGGAUCAAUGAAUCAUUCACUUCUCUUUUAAAGUUAUUAAAAGAGGCGAUGCCAAGUUGAACAUUCCUUCGUCUUACAAUAAAACCAAGUCUAUGGUUAAGAAUCUCGUCCUUGAUUAUGAGAAAAAUGAUGCAUGUCCAAAUGAUUGCAUGUUGUUUAGGAAUGAUCAUAAGGAUGAUGAAUUUUGUCAUACUGGCGGAGCUUCACUAUAUAUUAAAAAUCCUGAAGUUGAUGGUGAGGUUGAGUCUUCUAAAAGAUCACAUCGACUUUCAGCAAAGACUUUGAGACACUUUCCAUUAAUUCAAAGACUCAAAAGGUUAUUUAUGUGCUCAAAGACAGCAGAUUCUUUGAGGUGGCAUGACGAGGAGCGUUCAAAAGAUGAAAGUGAAGGCAUCCCACUGAUGGUCAAGCAUGGAAAGAUUUUGAUAGGUUUCAUCCAAAUUUUGCUUUAGAUUCUCGCAAUGUGAGACUUGGAUUAGUAAGUGAUGGGUUCAAUCCAUUUCGAACCAUGAGUAUAUCUCAUAGCACAUGGCCAGUUAUGUUGAUGGCGUAUGAUAUGCCGCCUUGGAUGUGCAUAAAAAUCUGAAUAUUCUAUACUUUCUUUACUUAUACCUGGACCACGAUCACCUGAAAAUGACAUUGAUAUUUACUUACAACCAUUGAUAGAUGAGUUAAAAUUGUUGUGGGAUUCUGGGGUUGAAACAUAUGAUGCUUCAAGAAAUCAAACUUUUCAAAUUCGAACAGCUCCUAUUUGGACAAUCAAUGACUUUCCUGUGUAUGCUAUGUUGUCUAGAUGGAGUACAAAAGGAAAGUUUGCUUGCCCUUGUUUAACUAUAACACUAAUUCUUGAUAUCUUAAGCAUAGCCGGAAAAUUUGUUAUAUGGAUCAUCGUGUUUUUCUACCCAUGGAUCAUCCAUAGAGAUCUAACAAAAGAUCUUUCAAUGGAAAAACUGAAUUCAGGCCUCCUCCACUUUUAUUAAAGGGAACUGAUGUGCUUAAUAGCUUACAAGAUUUUGAAAAUGUGUUUGGAAAGAAGAUAAAGAGAUCAAAUGAUGGCCCAUGGAAAAAAGGUCAAUUUUUUUUAAUCACCUUAUUGGUAGCACAACUUGUUACUCCACAACCUUGAUGUAGGAAGAACACAGUUGAUAGCAUUCUUGGAACUCUUUUGGAUAUUCCUGGCAAAACAAAGGAUCAUGCAAAAGCCCGAUAUGAUUUGAAAGAGAUGGGAAUUAGAAAGAAUCUUCAUCCAAAAGAUACUGGAGAUAACAAGAGAACAAAGUUUGCAAAAGCUUGCUUCUCAAUGACAAAUGGAGAGAAAUCAAUAUUUGUGGAGUUUUAAAGACAGUCAAGCUACCUGAUGGCAGUGCCUCCAAUAUAUCUAGGUGUGUGCAACUGGAUGAAAGGAAAUUGUCUGGUUAUAAGACUAAUGAUGCUCAUUUCAUGUUACAUUACUUACUUCCAAUACCCAUUAAAAGCAUCCUUCCAGAUCAUAUGGCUAUUGCUUUGAUUCGUCUAUAUUGAAAUCAUUUUCUUACUUGUUGAAAGUGUAGAAAAACUCUUCAACAAGUUCUUUAACUUUACCACCACAAAUGGUGCAAAACUCAUUUUUGAUUGAGAAAAAACUCCAUAUUGAUUGUUCAUGCUACUAUAUUCACUGGUCUAUCAGAGCUUCACGAUGAAAAGGAUAGCUCGUGAGGUUUAAAGCAGUGAUAGAUUAAAGUUGGAGAUUCACGAUGCUUCUGAUCUUAAAUAGAUCAGUUGAUGAAAGUCUUAAGAAGGCUGCCUCUGACAUGAUCUAGAGGACUUGGUGGUUCAGUUGAUCUUCUAGAUCAUUAUAAACUUAGGAAACAUCUUGAUUUUUAUGCAAGUGAUCAUUAUCAUCCUCUAUAUCUGAGACAGAAUAUCAUAGGAGUGUGGUGGGGGACAGAGAAAUGAGGAGAGGUGCAGGGAUGGAACUAGAUCAGCUGUCGAAAAGCUCUUCCUAUGAGGGACACAGAUGUGUACACUUGCAUUCCUUUUGUCUUGGAUAUACUCACGGAUACUUUUCGGCUCAGAGAAACAUCAUCUAUUGAUCUUCCAUUGGCAGGUAUAGGGUUGCCUUCAGGUGCAUCAAAGCAUAAAAAGAACAAACACAAAGAUAGGUCAAGGAAACUGGAUCCUAACAGUUGAAUUGAUAAGGAUCACACGCCAAUCAGGGAUAACAAUAAGGAGAAAAAUGGGAGUAAGAAGCAGAAUCAUGGUCCGGAUAUUUUUCUGAGACAAAUUUAUGCUUCUUGCCAUGAAUAGUUGCUUAUAUUUUGUCAUGAUCAAUUCUACAUCUAAUAUUUCAAAUGGAACUCUUUCAGCAUAAAAUGUGAAGUAUAUUUCAAAUGGAACUAUUUCAGCAUAAAAUGUGAUGUGUUGAAGUUGUUUUGCAGUUAGUGAUACAUAGGGUUGAGAAUUGGGAUAUUUAUUGCAAUAAUUUCUGCUAUGGCUUUUUAGGUUAAUAAUGUUAUCCUUUCAUGAAUCAGAUAACUAACAGAGAUAUUUCUAGAGCUUAGAUUUGUAUUGAAGUCAAGUUGAUAUGUUUUUA